AAGACUUCCCCCGGGGAUUCCACAUUGUCUGAAAGAGAACACAGCCUGUCUGGAACAUCUUCAUGCCAAUCACUGAGUUCAUCUAAAACCCCUAGGGCAGAAGGGAAUGAAUUCUUGAACCUUCUUUGCCUCUGAAGUUGCAGAGGUGGUCUGUUACAGACUGAGGGCCCCUAAACAGCCAGACCAGAACAGUCUUUGAGACCCACAUAAACUUCUUCCAGGUCUGUUCAUUCCCAAUUCAACUGCUAAGUGCAAGACUCUGGAUUAUGUGCAGUGGAAGUAUAUAGAAGCAAAAACUGCAGAUCUUGCCUGAUGGACCAAACAGUCUGAGACCAGAGGACCUACUGUUCCUACGGCUAAUUCAGUCAAAGAAACCAUUUGAUCUGCAUGUUGGACCAAAUGACCAGUGGUUUGACUGAGUUCACAGCCAUCGUGGCUGCUCUGGCGGUGUGUGUCCACCCAGGCUUUGUUUGUGUGCUGGCAGUCUCUGCACCGAGAACACACAGCAUAUGCCAGGUGGCCAUGUGUCUGAGGCAGAGGGAAGGGAGAACAAAGCAGAAAAAGCUUCCAUUUGGACAGAGAUGCUUUAAGCCAUCCGACUGCCAGUAACAUAUUAAAGAGAAAAGAAAAUGCAAUGAUGCCUGAAUAUACUCAACAGUAAACAACUUCAAGCCUGAGAUUCAGAUCACAAAUCUUCCUCUGCUGCUGCUGAUGAGCUCAGCUUGAGCGUGGCUGCAGGAGACAAAGAAACUUGAUCCAAGAGGAAAAUAAGAAGAGAUCUUCACACCAAUUUUAAUCUAUCUCAGAUAACUGGUCGCUCUCUUGCUGGUUCUCCAACAAGCGCUGUUUUCGCACCUGGAUGAGGACAUUUUGCCAUGUUGUGCUGGAUUGCUGUUUGUCUCUACGUGUGGCUCCUCCAGGAGUCAACUUCAUCACAAGUAUACAUUAUGCCAAGAAAGUACCUUUCAGAAGAAAAAUGGGAAACCCAGAUAGCAACUUCAAGUUUUUCUUUUAAAAUAAGAAAAGAAGUGGAGAAUUAGAUGUCCAUCUUUUAAACUUAAAAAAAGAAACUUCUUUAAAUACCAAGAUUACCAUUCAUUUUACUGUAACGUAUUAUCCAGUAAGAGAUUAUGUGAUUCUACCGUGGCAGCUAACUUCCAAAGUUGCCUAUCUAACCACCACCGCCACAGGUAAAACUGGGAGAAUAAGACUCAUUUUCCUUUUAGGCUUCUAGAAUAGAAAUUUCCCUGGUUUUCAUUUCCUUUGAGACAAAUCACACUAUUUUUUGACACUCUUGCAUUAUUUCCACCAGAAUGCCUCCCUCCCAACACUGGUUUAUUUCCAUCAUCGUGGCAAGAAAAAGUAGAUCGCAAACGUUAAGAAAGUUUUGCACAUUAAAUGAGUUACUAAGUUUUUCUAACAGGAUGGG
rnacentral:lncRNA from 1 species